UAUUAUGUUAAGGUAUGUUCCCUCUAUACCCACUUUGACAAAAGUUUUUAUCAUAAAUGGAUGUUGUAUUUUGUCAACUGCUUUUUUCUGCAUCUAUUGAGAUGAUCAGUGGCUUUUGAUUUUUCUUUUGUUAAUGUGGUGUAUGAUGUUGAUUGAUUUGCAUAUGUUGAACCAUCCUUGUGAACUUGGGAUGAAUCCCACUUGGUCAUGGUGUAUGAUCUUUUUUAUAUAUUGUUGGAUUUGAUUGGCUAAAAUUUUGUCAAGAGUUUUUGCAUCAUAUUCAUCAAAGAUAUUGGUCUAUAAUUUUCUUUUUUGGAAGUAUUUUUGAUUUUGGGAUUACAAAUUGGAUAAUAAAGUAGACAGUAUCUACAAUAGCACCAUCCAUAAAUAAACUAGAUAAAUUUUUAAGAAGUAUAUCUAUUUCUGCAAUACAAGUCUGUUGAACUAAACUGGACUUUGUACAAAAUCCUCCAGAAAGAGAGUUACUGGAAAAAUCAGAAAAUAAAGAUGCAGAAAAGAACAAGUCCUUCUCUGUCUCAUUUUUCUCAUUUACAAAAUGAGGAAAGUGGAAUAAAUUGUUCCUAAAAUUUUUGACACAGCAGAGCUUCAAAUAAGUAAACUGAUGCUUGGACACUAAUAUUUCUAUAAAAAGAAGAAUGACGAAAGUCAAUAGCAAUGCUGAGAAACCAUUUGGAGAGGAGGGAAAUAUCACAUUUUGAGGUUAAUGGCAAUCUAUCAUUUCUCUGGGUGAACAAUGUGAAGAGAAAAACAGAGCCAUUUGCAGCAAACUGGAGGCCUGUGUGCCUUAAGCUUUAAUACAUUCAGCAAGUAUUAUGUUUUUUUUAAUUUAAUUAAUUGCCAAUAUUUAAAAAUUGGACAUUUUCACAUAAAACACAAAUUUCUGGCUUCUCCUAUGACAGAAAUAUGCUUAGAUGGAAACAGUCAGCUAAAGCUGCACGUUCAAGGUCAUACACUCUCUAGUGUACAAAGUGUCACCCUCAGUGCUUUCUUUGGGAAAUUGUGUCAGUUGCCUUUUAUCACUGAGCUUGUACUACUUUCCCAUGUUACAGAUUUAGGAAAAGAAAACAUGUUAUCUCAUACCUAAAUCUCCUUUUCAAAGGUGGAGAGAUGAUUGUGGGAUGACAACACUUUAUUUCAAGAAUAUUAAAGAGACUUUACUUCUUUGUAGAAGUAAAGAUGAUACCUACAUAUUUAAAUAUGCUCAUUUAAUACCAUCUGGAAACGUGGAGAUAUUGGCGAAAGAGUGCAAACUUCCAGGUGUAGGAUGAAUGAGUUCUGGGGAUCUAAAGUACAGCAUGGUAAUGAUAGUUAAUAAUGUUCUAUCAUAUAUCUGGAAGUUGCUAAGAGAAUAGAUCUUAAAUGUUCUCACCACAAAAAAGAAAUAGUAAUUAUGUGGGGUGAUGAAGGUGUUAGCUAAUCCUACAGUAGUCAUCAUUUUGCAAUAUAUAAAGGCAUCCAAUCAAUGCAUUGGCCACCUUCAACUCACACAAUGUUCUAUGUCAAUUACAUCACAAUAACGCUGAAAAAAUUGCAAAGGAUGGAAGAGGAAUCGGAGAUUAAAAGAGACUUAAGAGCUAUAUCAAUUCAUCACAGUGCAUUAAACUUAUUUGGAUCAUAAGUCAAAUAAAGAAAUUAUAAAUAUAAAAAUAGAUAAUCUCUUUGGUAUAUCUAGCCUACUCUUUAACAAUAGUUACAUAGUACCUGAAGGUAUUUCUGUUUUAUAUAAAACCUUACACAAUAACUUAUUUAAUAUAAAACAAUAUACUUCAGGUUGACACGUUGCCUUUACUUCAAGUAUGCUGGGACAAUCGAGAAAAGAACAAAUAAUGAUGUUUUCAGAAAAAGUGAAAAAUGGAAGAACAGUCUGAGAGAAAAAGAAAUAAUCUAAAAACUCAAAAUUCAACCAAUUUCCAAAAUUAUGAGUACAUAAUUAAUUUCCUUUAAGGUUUACUUGUGUGUAGAAAAGCAAACUACAGUUUUUUAAUCAUACAAAAAUACUACAGAGCCAAGUGGGCAAGAUGCAUACAGGCUUAUAAACACACUCUCAUUAGGCUUAAUUUAGCAAUUACAGCGACAGAAUGCACUAGAGGCUUAGCAUUGUGUUAUUUUAAUGAUAUAAUUAAAUUUGUUAAUGUGAGUUUGAAUAUGAAUGCUAUGACAAAGACUGGAACCUGACUAAAUAGCAAAAAUAAACUGGGUCUACAAAAGACAUUUAUUCUUUUUUUUUUUUUUUUUUUUUUUUUUUUUGUCUUUUUAGAGCCACAACCGAGGCAUAUUGAGGUUCCCAGGCCAGGGAUCCAAUCAGAGCUGUAGCGGCGGGCCUACACCAGAGCCACAGCAACUUGGGAUCCUAGCCGAAUCUGCAACCCACACCACAGCUCACAGCAACGCCAGAUCCUCAACCCACUGAGUGAGGCCGGGGAUCGAACUUGUGUCCUCAUGGAUACUAGUCGGGUUUAUCCACUGAGCCAUGACAGGAGCUCCACAAAAGACAAUUUUUAAGAUGAGAAAGAAAUACUCAACAAGGUAACCUGGAUUAAGAACUUAAAUGUUAGCUUGACUGAAUUACUGCCUUUGUAGCAUUUAUGUUAACUAACAGGCCUAUUGUAAUAAAGUUGAUAAUCAUACCAUAAAGGGUACAAGAACAAAAUGGAAAAAUCACUCAGGGUAUAAAGUAAGUUCCAAAUUACAUUUGUCAACUCAUUCACAUGCCUCAAUACAGCUGUGAAUUAAGUUUGUUUUCUCUGUGCUUUUAUGAUACAAUGAAGAAGCAAGGCAAAAAUACAUAGAAGAACAGUAAAAACAAAAUAACCACAAAAUUAACAAGAAACUUCAACACUCAUUAACGCGUCCACAGCGGGUGUAAAGGACAACAGUUUCUCAUCUAGCCAAAUUCUAACCAAAUUUGUAUGCAUAGUUCUCACCAAAGCCGACUGACUCUCAAGCAAGGGCUGGCCUCAGGUGGCCUGGCAACAUUUGAAGAAGGAAAGGUUGGCCUUCCUGCCUCUUUGUUUUACUAAUAUUAUCUUUUCUUAGUGGUAAGAUUCAAUAUACAGUAAAAUUUCAAUAAAUACACUAGAAGAGAGUUAACUGCUCUUUUUUUUUUCAUACAAUUUUGAGAGACAGUGGAAAAUCACAAGGAAAAGAAUUUCAUAUUAGAUUUAAUUAACAAAUGCGUACAAUUUUACAAUAUAUCCUGGGCUUGGUAUAAGUUUAACCUCAAAUCCUGUGGAUCUUUUAUUUUCAAAUUUGUACAUUAAAAACUGAUCUACAGAGUGACGCUAGCAUGCAGUAGAGCCCAGCUUCUGGUACUCAAGAAGCACAAGUUCAAAGUCUGACUUUUAUGCUUGCUGGUUAAAUUUGUAGCCUUCAAUGGAUUCAUCUGUGUAAAAUGGGAAUAAUAAUAAUGGUAUCUAGUCCAUAGGAUUGUGACAAUUGUAUGAAAUGAUCCAUAUCAAGCAUAGGAAAUGUGCAUUAUAGGGUCAUAAAUUCAGUUUUCCUACAUAAACUCUCCUACAGCUCACAUGCGUGUGUGUGUGUGUGUGUGUGUGUGUUAGAGAGAGAGAGAGAAAUUUUUUGGUAAUACAUUCAACCCCAUGAUGACUUUUGUAAUAAAGUACUCUAACCUGAAAAUGCAAUUAAUUCUAACACUAUAUUACACAAUUCUUUAUAUAUAUGUAUUUUCUUUACUGAGAAGCGAGGGCUGGAAAAAGAAGCUGUUUGGGAAUCAGAUAGCCAUGGGUUUGAAUUUCAGUUGUAAACUAUUAACUAGGUGACUGCAAGUUUUUUAAGGUGACAAAAUUUUCCCAGUCUCAGUUUUCUCAUACUUUGAAUAUUUAUUGGUAUAAAGAAUUAAAAGGCUACUGGACACAAUGUAGGCCCCAAAUAAAUAGUAGCUUUUAUCAUUAUACAUGUUGUUAUUCAAUCUUUACAUGAAAAUGUUUAUUAGAAUACUCAUAUUUAAUUUGUAUCAUAAGUAGAGCUUAACAUUUAGGUUGUAUAAAGACUAUUUUAAGUUCUCUAGUAAAAUAGCUUCACCUUACUGCCAUUUUCUGUGACUUAAAAGCUAAUUAAUUGGAGAGACAAAGGCUUUUUAGUUUCCAAAUUAUUGACAUUUCUUGAAACACAAAGCCUCUUCUUUUGGGUGACAAAGACAAAAAUGUUAAAUGAUUUUUUUUAAAAAAGAGAAUACAUGAUACUAGGAUAUUUAGGAAAAUCAAUGUUGUCACAUGUUGAUACUAUGGAGCCCUGGCAAUUUUCCUCAUGCUUUUUCCAUGCCAUGCAAGUGUAAGGAUUAUUUUUCCAUUUUAGUCAUGCUCAGACAUGAAGGGAAUUAAAAGCACGAUAGAUGUACUUUUCCACCUGGAUUGCAGAGUGACAAUAACAUAUUUGGGUGUAAAGAUAUACAAUCAUUAUUAUAUUGUGUUGGCAAUUUCAGAAAGAACCAAAAUGCCUGCGCUGAACUUUGCAAUGAUAGAUUUUUAAAUCGACAGCUGGUUAACAUUAUCAGAAUGAGUCAUGGAGCAGAAGUGACAGCUGGAUUGAAGCCAGGGCAACCAGGAGAUACCAGAGAUAAUUUCUGUGUUUUAAAGGGAGAUUUUCUUCAGUGCCUCUGACCCGGUGUUACAUUUGUCUUAAUUUAAGUCAACAGAUAGUGUGAUAAAAAAAAAACAAAGUACAAUUAUCGUUUAAACCCAAAGGACCCAAACAAACAGAAGUGUCUUAAAGGUGGUAUAUUUUCCACUGAGGACAAAGCAUUUACUUUGCCCUAGACCUCUUAGUUAAAUGUUAGAAAUAUCUAGUGUUCACCUUAGAACAGUUUAAUAUUUAUUUUUUUUUUAAAUCAGGAAUAAACUGUAUCUGUUUUUAUGGUCAAGUUAAAACAAGACUCCUACCUGUAAGGCUUGACAGGUAAAGCCACUCCAAUCUUUUCAGCUUUAAAACCAG
rnacentral:lncRNA from 1 species